CUAAAAAGUACCUGUUAUGGCGGCUACUCUCUUCUGAACAUUGUUUAGUGGGGAAAAGCGUACACAUACCCUCCCGCGGCGCGACUGCCUUAUGGUGGAGGGUAAUGUGGGACUCGCUACUGUGCAUGCUCGCUGAAACCCAACGGAGCCCCCAGCAAUCGCCCGAGCCAGGACACGAUAGCAGCGUAACCUUGUGUGCAUCCCGCCACGCGAUAACCCGUUGAAGAUCAGUGGUUGGUUGUUCAAGCUUCGUGCGUAACACCUAACCUAACAUUUUGUUUUUGAGCGGUUUGGUAUUUCAACUAUUGGUACUCGUAUUUUGUUUGUAUUUAUUACUAAUAAUUACACACAUACGUUUAUAUA